UACAGAGGGUGCGAGCGUUAAUCGGAAUUACUGGGCGUAAAGCGCGCGUAGGCGGCUUUGCAAGUCGGGUGUGAAAUCCCCAGGCUUAACCUGGGAACUGCAUUCGAGACUGCAUUGCUAGAGUAUGGGAGAGGGAAGUGGAAUUUCCGGUGUAGCGGUGAAAUGCGCAGAUAUCGGGAGGAACACCGGUGGCGAAGGCGGUUCUCUGGGCCUGUACUGACGCUGAGGAGCGAAAGCGUGGGGAGCGAACAGG
rnacentral:rRNA from 1 species